rnacentral:rRNA from 1 species
UACGAAGGGGGCGAGCGUUGUUCGGAUUUACUGGGCGUAAAGCGCGCGCAGGCGGUUCUGUAAGUCCUGGGUGAAAUCGCCCGGCUCAACUGGGCGGGGGCCUGGGGGACUGCGGGACUGGAGGGGCCUAGAGGCCGGUGGAACUCCCGGUGUAGUGGUGAAAUGCGUAGAGAUCGGGAAGAACACCAGUGGCGAAGGCGGCCGGCUGGGGGCGCCCUGACGCUGAGGCGCGAGAGCGUGGGGAGCGAACCGG